CCCAGGUGGAGCCACCCGUUCCCCCUCCACGUCGAAGUGAGAGAGAGACUGCAGGGAGACAUAGAAAUAUGUUUCACCUACCCAGAUCAGCAUGUAAUUCUGUGUCCUUUAGCCCAGAUGUGUUCUCUCAGAUACUAGCAGGGGUGGCCCUUUAUACAUCCAACCUUAGAGAAGGGAUGGAGGAGUAGGAAGUCACCGAGGACGUUGACUUUUAGCAGGGGAGAAUGUAGCCAGGUGAAAUUGGAAGCGAUUAAAUAGAGGGUUAAACAGCCCCACCUGGUGGAGCAUUGUUGUCAUUCUCACUGAAGCUGGUUAGUCUCGCGAGAAUGCGGAAAUCCCGCGAGAUUUCAGAUCGAGGCUAGAGGCCAGACUAAUGUCCCGUACGCCAUCAGAUCGCCGCAAAGCUGCUUGAGAAACCGAUUGUUUGCCGCACGGUGUGGAAAAGCCAGAGCAGUGGAGCAGCAGGGGAGAAAUCCAGUGAUAGGCUGAGGUGGUGUGUUAUAGCACAGGCUGACCACUGGAGUCAGAAAAAGUGAGGCCACUGCUGUUGUCUGUAGGGAAUUUGAUUUGUACACAGUAGGAAAGCUUAGGCCUCCAUUUUGUUUUCAAUCUACAGCCGUUGAUCUGUUCUGUGUCCAUGAGCGGUGUUGAGGCUGGAGGAGGCAGGGGCACAGUGUAUUGUUAAAGUUGAGACAUUUGUUAAUUAACCUCAAAACAAAGAAUUAACGCUGUUCUUAUUCUUUAUUAUGAGUUCAGUCGGGGAAUAAA